AACGCACCUUGCGCUCCUUGGUAUUCCGAGGAGCACGCCUGUUUGAGUGUCGUGAAAUUCUCAACCCUUCCCCCUUUUACGAGGCGGGCUUGUGGAUUGGACUUGGAGGUCUUUUGCCGGCUUUUUACUAAGUCGGCUCCUCUUAAAUGUAUUAGUAGGACCUUCAGUUGAAGAAGCCUCGGUGUGAUAAUUAUCUACGCCGGCUCGUGUGCUAUAUUCACUGUAUGUUGAACCUGCUUCUAACCGUCUCGCAAGGGACAAAUUAAAUUAUCAAACCUUGACCUCAGAUCAGGCGGGACUACCCGCUGAACUUAA
rnacentral:misc_RNA from 1 species